rnacentral:rRNA from 1 species
CCUACGGGGUGCAGCAGUGAGGAAUAUUGGUCAAUGGACGAGAGUCUGAACCAGCCAAGUAGCGUGAAGGAUGACUGCCCUAUGGGUUGUAAACUUCUUUUAUAUGGGAAUAAAAUGUUCCACGUGUGGGAUUUUGUAUGUACCAUAUGAAUAAGGAUCGGCUAACUCCGUGCCAGCAGCCGCGGUAAUACGGAGGAUCCGAGCGUUAUACGGAUUUAUUGGGUUUAAAGGGAGCGUAGGUGGAUUGUUAAGUCAGUUGUGAAAGUUUGCGGCUCAACCGUAAAAUUGCAGUUGAAACUUGCAGUCUUGAGUACAGUAGAGGUGGGCGGAAUUCGUGGUGUAGCGGUGAAAUGCUUAGAUAUCACGAAGAACUCCGAUUGCGAAGGCAGUUCACUGGACUGCAACUGACACUGAGGCUCGAAAGUGUGGGUAUCAAACAGGAUUAGAUACCCCUGUAGUC